CACGUAGGGCGCAAGCGUUGUCCGGAAUUAUUGGGCGUAAAGAGCUCGUAGGCGGUUUGUCGCGUCUGCCGUGAAAGUCCGGGGCUCAACUCCGGAUCUGCGGUGGGUACGGGCAGACUAGAGUGAUGUAGGGGAGACUGGAAUUCCUGGUGUAGCGGUGGAAUGCGCAGAUAUCAGGAGGAACACCGAUGGCGAAGGCAGAUCUCUGGGCCGUAACUGACGCUGAGGAGCGAAAGCAUGGGGAGCGAACAGG
rnacentral:rRNA from 1 species